rnacentral:rRNA from 1 species
CCUACGGGUGGCAGCAGUGAGGAAUAUUGGUCAAUGGCCGGAAGGCUGAACCAGCAAAGCCGCGUGAAGGACGAAGGUGCCAAGCAUUGUAAACUUCUUUUGUCAAGGGACAAAAUCAGGCUCGAGAGCCUGACCGAGGGUACUUGAAGAAAAAGCAUCGGCUAACUCCGUGCCAGCUGCCGCGGUAAUACGGAGGAUCAGAGCGUUAUCCGGAUUUAGUGGGUUUAAAGGGUGCGUAGGCGGGCUGUUAAGUCAGCGGUAAAAGCCCGGGGCUCAACCCCGGCGAGCCGUUGAAACUGGCUGUCUUGAGAUGUCGAGAGGUAUGCGGAAUGCGUAGUGUAGCGGUGAAAUGCUUAGAUAUUGCGCAGAACUCCGAUUGCGAAGGCAGCAUACCGGCGGCGAUCUGACGCUGAGGCACGAAAGCGUGGGUAUCGAACAGGAUUAGAUACCCGAGUAGUC